AACGGAUAUAUAUCCAAACAUGCAAUCAAAAGUGUUUUUGAAACACUUGUUAGCAAAAUUAAUGGAGAUGCUCAAUCCUUGAAAUGAGACAAUUUUUCUUUACAUAUAUAUACGUCUGAACUUGGUCUUGAUCUGAAGUCACAUGAUCAGUCUCGUUGUUCUAUAGCUUCAAAUGAAGAGGAUCAGCGCAAUUCUUUUUUUGAUAAAUAGCACGUACAUUGAAGAUAAUAAUAGGAUAAUUGCAUGUUUGUCAAAUUUAUGUGAGUGCUGAAAUUUCUUUGUCGGAGACAGGAAAGGUUGCAGAGACAGCUAACAACGUAAAAGGAAAGGGAAGCUAUGUAUUAAUUCUGAAUUAGAACAAGAUGCGGUUGUUAGUGGUACCUCUAAAAGCUGAGAGAGUAGGCAGAAUCAAUCCCAGUUGACUUGUCAUACCCUUCUCCCCUUUGGCAAAAAAUAAUGUCACCUUUUCUCUUUGACUCACUUUCUUCCUUCUCUCCAUUAAUGCAAGCUUUCAGCUUUCUCUCUCCA